rnacentral:tRNA from 1 species
GGGCGGUUAGCUCAGCUGGGAGAGCGCUACCUUUACACGGUAGAUGUCACAGGUUCAAUCCCUGUACCGCCUA